rnacentral:rRNA from 1 species
CCCUUAGAUGUUCUGGGCUGCACGCGUGCUACACUGAUAUUGCCAAUAUGUCAUUCUUAUCCGAAAUGGAUUGGGUAAUCAAGUAAUGAAAUUUCAUGCUUGGGAUCGGUAAUUGCAAUUUUAUCGUGAACGAGGAAUUCCUAGUAAGCACUAGUCAUCAGCUAAUGUUGAUUAUGUCCCUGCCCUUUGUACACACCGCCCGUCGCUACUACUGAUUGGGUGUUCAAGUGAGAUGCUUAGACCCUUGUUGCAUGGUUCAUUAUUGUGCUCCGAAAGGAAAAAGUUUCAAGCUUGAGUGUCUAGAGGAAGUAAAAGUCGUAACA